rnacentral:rRNA from 1 species
CUACGGGAUGCACCAGUAGGGAAUCUUAGACAAUGGGGGAAACCCUGAUCUAGCAAUGCCGCGUGAGUGAUGAAGGCCUUAGGGUUGUAAAGCUCUUUCGCUGGGGAAGAUAAUGACGGUACCCAGUAAAGAAACCCCGGCUAACUCCGUGCCAGCAGCCGCGGUAAUACGGAGGGGGUUAGCGUUGUUCGGAAUUACUGGGCGUAAAGCGCGCGUAGGCGGGCUAUUAAGUCAGGGGUGAAAUCCCGGGGCUCAACCCCGGAACUGCCUUUGAUACUGGUAGUCUUGAGUUCGAGAGAGGUGAGUGGAAUUCCGAGUGUAGAGGUGAAAUUCGUAGAUAUUCGGAGGAACAUCAGUGGCGAAGGCGACUCACUGGCUCGAUACUGACGCUGAGGUGCGAAAGUGUGGGGAGCAAACAGGAUUAGAUACCCUAGUAGUC